UUCCGGUUGAUCCUGCCGGACCUGACUGCUAUCGGAUUGAUACUAAGCCAUGCUAGUCUUUGUAGUAAUACAAGGCAUACGGCUCAGUAACGCGUAGUCAACCUACCCUAUGAACGGGGAUAAUCUCGGGAAACUGAGCAUAAUACCCGGCAGACCACUUAUCCUGGAAUGGUUAGUGGUUAAAAUGAUUCGUCGCCAUAGGAUGGGACUGCGGCCUAUCAGCUUGUUGGUGAGGUAAUGGCCCACCAAGGCGAUUACAGGUACGGGCUCUGAGAGGAGAGGCCCGGAGAUGGGUACUGAGACAAGGACCCAGGCCCUAUGGGGCGCAGCAGGCGAGAAAACUUUGCAAUGUGCGAAAGCACGACAAGGUUAAUCCGAGUGAUUUCUGCUAAAGGAAUCUUUUGUUAGUUCUAAAAAUACUAGUGAAUAAGGGGUGGGCAAGUUCUGGUGUCAGCCGCCGCGGUAAAACCAGCACCUCAAGUGGUCAGGAGGAUUAUUGGGCCUAAAGCAUCCGUAGCCUGUUCUAUAAGUUUGCGGUUAAAUCUAUACGCUCAACGUAUAGGCUGCCGUAAAUACUGUAGAACUAGGGAGUGGGAGAGGUAGACGGUACUCGAUAGGAAGGGGUAAAAUCCUUUGAUCUAUUGAUGACCACCUGUGGCGAAGGCGGUCUACCAGAACGCGUUCGACGGUGAGGGAUGAAAGCUGGGGGAGCAAACCGG
rnacentral:rRNA from 1 species